UCUGUAGUUCCAUUUAACUUAGUAGUAUAAAGUAAGCCAAAAGCAGUGGAGAGUGGCUUUGGAAACAUUCAGUAAAUAAGAGCCUCUUGCAACGCAAAAUAAACUGAUUGGGUAGUCUUGCUGAUUCUUAGAGUCAGAGGACAGUAUUUGUAUGACGAGAACGGCAAUUAGUAUUUGGACUGUAUCAGCAACGUUCAGCACGCAUAGCGGCAAAGGACACAAUCCAAAGCCCUUUGAACAUUACAGUACAACAUAAUCAACACAACAGUGCCUCCUAGUGGCCCCUGUAGCAGACACCUGUAGAGACGACCAACCCAGCCCAGACAUAUGCAGAUACUGUGGAGGACGUGAUAGACCAGGUGCACCAAAGAGGUCGCAAGAUACGUGCGCUCUGCAAGGGGAGUGUUUGUGGCAGACGAGGUGAAGACAGGUUUUGGGGGUGUGGGGAGUCACUUUUGGGCCUUCCAGCUUCAGGGUGAUGAUGACUUCUGCCCUGACAUAAUGACCAUAGCCAAGGUGAUGGGUAACGGGCAUCCCCUGGCAUGUAUGGUAACCAGUGGAGAUAGCUGAGGCCUUCACAGCCAACAGAGUGGGGUACUUUCACACAGUGAGACUAGUAGUUGCUGUUACUACCUAUUUUUUUUUUUUAUUACCUUAAUUUAGCUAGGCAAGUCAGUUAAGAACAAAUUCUUAUUUACAAUGAUGACCUACCCUGGCCAAA